AAUGAACGCUGGCGGCGUGCCUAACACAUGCAAGUCGAGCGAACGGACGGGAAGCUUGCGCCCCUGCGGUUGGCGGCGGACGGACGGGUAACACGUGGAUAACCUACCUCUAAUACUGGGAUGACUACGGGAGACAGGAGCUACUACCGCAUAAUAUGUUGAACCGCAGGGUGCAAGAGUGAAAGACGGUCUUCGUGUCUGUAAUAGCCGGAUCCGGGCUGAAUUAUCUAGUUGGCAAGGUAACGGCUUACCAAGGCAACGAUGCAUAGCCGACCUGAGAGGGUGAUCGGCCACACUGGAACUGAGACACGGUCCAGACUCCUACGGGAGGCAGCAGUAGGGAAUAUUCCGCAAUGGGCGAAAGCCUGAUGGAGCAACACCGCGUGAGUGAUGAAGGUCUUCGGAUCGUAAAGCCCUGUUAUUAGGAAAGAACAGAAGCGUAAUUAACUGUGGCCAUCUUGACGGUACCUAAAGAAUAAGCCCCGGCUAACUACGUG
rnacentral:rRNA from 1 species